UUCUACAUCCUCUGUUGUGGUGAGUCCUCAUGUUCCGAGGACGUGAUGUCUGAUGUUGGUUUCACGGAAUUGUUUACAUCUGAUAACUGAGUAUGAGUCAGUUGGGGCAUGUCUCAAUGGCUCGCUGGUUUUAUUGAUUUUCUUAGAGGCUUGUCAGACUAGUAUAGAUGUUGGGAGUUGACUAAUAAGUCGUAUUUUGUUAUCUUUCUGAAAUUCUUUUAUUCUUGGAUGAUGAUUACUUUGUUGAUAUUUGAGGAUUAUUUAUGGAAACCCCGUUGAUUUGUGUUGAACUGAAUGAAAAUGGCUCAAAGGGUUAGCUUGGGACUACGUGACGCUCCGGGACCCGUUUUCGGGGCGUUACAAUAUCACCCUCCACCUUGAGGGGGAGUAUUAGCUAUAUUGAAGUACACGUGUUAGAUAUAAAGGGGUAGUCUGGUGAUUAACUACAUAGACAAAGGGUUAUUUUAGUCUUUUACCCUUAAGCUGUUAGAAGUCAGUUACUUGCCUAUAUUAAGGGCAUUAGCUGUGUAAUUGAAGAAUAAGAGCUAAGAGCAAAUUCUCUAGAACUUUCCUUUUCUUCUACAAGAUGUAAACAACUUGUUCAAUGAAAGUUCAUCUAUAUUGUUAGAAAUACAAUUGAUUUUCAGAUUCAUCAUUUCAUUUUAUUAAAAUAGAAUUUCCUUUGAUAGAGAGCACUUUUAGGAUAAACUUAAGUUAAUUGAUUUCAAAAUAACCGUCCUUUUUGUUCUCAUUCCCGCUUAUUUGUACUCCAUGGCUUAUAAGCCUACAGAUGCUUGAGGUGAUGCCAGAUUAGCACUUAUACUUCUUCACACAACUAUAUUCAAUCAAUUGAGUAGAGAAGGCAAUUGAAUCAGUUGUCAUCGCUCUUGUGAUAAACAAGCACAAGGAAGUACUAGUAUAGUAGUAUAUAUUAGUCUUUAGAAGGUGAUCGUUUAAUUCUCUUUCAAUUGAUAUUAUCAAAAUAUGUAGCAGAGAUUGCUGAAAUUGACCGAUGAAAGGAUGACAGUAAAUGAUGAAAUGGAGCACUGCUUCUAUUUCUGAUCCAUAAAGAUAACUACAAUGUACAGAUGUGGCUCCUAUUUUUCAAAAGUAAAAAAUUGGAUAAAACGUGUUUUUGGGUGAGCAUAAAUAUAGAUGAUAAUACAUAUGCCUCCAACUCAAUAGCAAUACUGGUGGCCCCAAAAUUUUAAAAGUAAUGGAGGGUUCCAUGGUUAGUGUUGCUACAAUAACAGAAUAUAAGUGCGCUAUUAUUUUAAGUUACUUCAAUUAGAAGUGAAAAAUAUGUUUAGCAUAUUGAUAAUUGUUUUCGACUAUUUUGCUUUAUAAAAAUGCAAAAAGUAUGAGAAGAUUAAAGCUACCUGACCGUGGGAAUUAAUUCUCAGUGAAGAUUUCGCACUUAAUUAAAUAGUUUAGGGAAAAUGGAAUUCUCCUUAGCAUUGGUAAGCACACUAGAACUGAUCUCUUAUGAUCAUUUGCAAAUAUUCAGAUCUUUUAUGUUUAGAAAAUGAAGAUUUUCUUGUAUGUACAAAUAAAAAUCUUUUAUAAAAAUGAUAUAAAGUUAAAAAUUAUUUGUAAGAAAUUAUAAAAUCAUUGAAUAACGUACGAGCGUAUACUUGUAUGUGAAGUUGGUUUAAAUACUUUAUAAAAAGGUAUAAUAUAAUACUAUCAUGUUCUUUUCAACCCAACUUUUUUUCAAGACACAGUAAACUCAUGUAUUAUUCGAUUCUAGUUCCAGUUUAAAUUACAAUCCUAGCUAGUAAAUUUAGUUACUUGGAUUUUACUUCCUCCAUUUCGGAAUAAGUGAAUUGUUGAGGUAUUUAUUGAUGUUUCAAAAUAAAUGAAUCAUUAAAAUUUUUUUUUGUAAAUUUACUCUUAUGAUUUGAUAACCAAUUAACUUUUGAAGAAGUAUUACAAAAUCAGUUUUUUCACUUUUGGGGUAAAAAUAGUAAAGUAUAUUAAAUUUAUGUUUUUAAUAUUUUUUUACCUUAAUUUAUAUGCCAAAAUUUAAUAAUUUAUUUAUUAUAAAACGGAUUGAGUAUUCUUCAAGUUUGAACUAGUAAGGGCACAGUUGUACCGAAAAGGAAAAAGUCCUUUUUUUUUUUUGGGUCAAACCGGAAAAGGAAAGUCAAGGCUUCUAAAUUGGUUUAAAAGUUUCAGGGAAAGGGCCCCACGUGUCACUUUCAGUGAAAGGACCCACUAAUUUACAAGGCGUUAAAUGUCAGUACGUACUUAAAAAUUAAAAACUAUAAUGGUACAUAAAUUCUAGUACAGUACUAAUUUCUACAAUUAAAGGUCGAAUUCAGUUUGAACUGUAAAUUUAAUUUUAUUUCGAAUUUUAACUGUACUAAUAAAUAUGUAUAAACAAAAUUUCUGAAGCGGCUCCCCUCCAUUAAAUUUUCCCUUCAUUUAUGAGUGAGAAUUUUUCUAUUUAUUUACUACUUCCUUCAUAUUAAAUUAAUUUGACAUGUUUUUUUUUUUUUGCACAAUUCUUAAGAAAAAUUUAAUAAAGAUUGUAACUAAUAUAACCUUAUUUAAUCUUGAUUAGAUAAAUCGUCUUCAAUUAAUAAGGGUACAGUCAAAAAAAUAAUUAAUUAUCUCUUGAAUUUUUAAAUAUAUCAACUAUUUUAAAAUAAUUUUUUUAAUAAACAUGUUAAGUAUGAAAAUAGAGUCAAGAUUAGAUUAAUUUAACAAGUAUCUUAAUCAUAGUUAAAAAGAUUGACUUUGAAAAAAACUCUCAACUUUGAUAAGACUAUGAUAUCUCUCCUUAAAUUUUAAUAUCAACUAAUAUAUUAAUUUUAUUUAUAUCCAAAUAUUAAAAUUACUGAACAUCAACAUUAGUAAAACCUCAACAACAACACCCCCACCCCACCCCACUCCACCCCACCCCACCUACCCACGCCACAACCAUCCAACCCCCUAAAACUAAAGCUUUUUUAGAAGGAAAACCCUCAAUCUCUUUCUUAUUUUUAAUCAACAAUUCUUAGUAAUUCUUAAUUUUCAAUUUUAAAAAGUUCUCAUUGGGAUUUAGGGUUACUUUUCUUUGUACUUUAAACUUAUCUAUUUUCACACACAAACUUUUUUCUUUGUUCUUUAAACUUAUCUAUUUUCACACACAAACUUUUUUCUUUGUUCUUUAAACUUAUCUAUUUUCACACACAAACUUUUUUCUUUGUUCUUUAAACUUAUCUAUUUUCACACACAAACUUUCAUAUUACUGUGCCAAUAUGUUAGGGUUUUUGUCCUGAUUUUCUUAUUAUAUUUAAAUUUUAUAAAAGUUACCAUAAUUACUUUUACUUUUCCCGAAAGAAAAAAUAUAAUUAUUUUUCAUAUUUGGCUAACUUCUUUCUUGGAGAAAAGUUUUUGAACAUCUAUAAAUAGAAAACCCCCUUCUCAUACCAUAAUACAAUAACAUCCACAAUGUAGUUUUUAAAGAGUCUUUGUUUAGGGGGUGAUUUCUCUCAAUAAGUUUUAGAAUUUUCAAUUUUAUUUUUAAUAUGUAGGCCGUUUGGUCAAACCAUAUCUAAUAAUAUAUUUUUAGUUUAAUUUUUCAUGUGUUGUGUGAUUUAUCGUCUUAUGAUUUGCAAACUAAAAGCUUCCGCAUGACGUUCUCUCGAUUUCGAACCCACCACAAUAUUCAUUAGAUUUAGACAUAUAAAAAUAGAAACAGAAGUAAAACUUCAAUUUUUCAAUUGGGGGUGAUGUGGGGUGGGUGAAAAAUUACUAGUGUUUAUAUUCAACUAUAUUAUUGGUAUUUAGAAAUCAGAUGCGCAGAUAGUUGCUGUUUGGAGGUAACAAAAUUUACAAAUUGGAGUUACGAAUGAUUUAGAGAUAGCUUUCUCUUACGAAAUUAAGAGAAUUUUCCAAAAUAUAUAUGAUUAUCAUGCUUAUUAAAGAAAUGUAAUCUAAACUCUAAAUAAAUAAAUUCGGACAAGUAUCACUCAUCCAACUAGAAAAGAAAAUGUAAUGAUAAAGAGACAAAUGUAGUAAUUUCGAGUUCCAGUCAACAUAUAGGAUCAUGCAAGAUCGUCUGUAAUAAUGGGGCAGAAGUUACGGACUUUCCAUUAAAGUUGCAAUGUCUGGAAGAGUCACUACACAAACCCAGCAAUCCCAUGUUAUUUUUAUGGAUCCAAAGACUUGAUGUCCUCUCGUAAUAAAGUAGAAAAGGAAAAUAAGACACAAGUUGUUUUAGUAUUUAAUUCUUUGAAAAUUCAGCAUCAUACUCAUCAUUUUUCUGAACCUUUCUUUAUCUACGCUGAUGAACUGUGUGCAUUUGCUUCUUUUAAAAGGACAAUCGGAGUUGUGUCAGAUAAUAUAUGUAGCAGUGACUAGUAAGAUUCAAUCUCGAGACCUUUAUCUGCUUUGAUUAAAUAUAAGUUAAAGCAUGUGAACUUUUCAUCUAAAAAGCUCAAGUUAUUAAUUAGAAAGUAUUUUCAACAGUAUGCGUGUUGGUGCAUUAUUAUUACACCAACAGUAUGUGCCCAUUUUGCACUCUAGUGACUCAUAAAAUUUCACAUCUAAAACUAUUUGAUGUCUCGUGAGAUGUAUCCAGUUACUAAUUUCAUAUUCAAUGUACAUCAGCUUAGAAACUUUCCUAUAUAUACUAAUCGACUUUUGAGGGGACUGCAUGUCUUGCGCGUUAACUGAUUUAAGAGAAUUUUCUUUUUGAUGUUUUACUAGGUAUCAUAAGCUUAAGCAAUAUGAAAAUCCCAAAUAAAUUAAAGGUAUGUUUGGUACGGACGAAAAUAUUUUUUUAAAAAAAAAUUCACGUUCGGUAAGUCAUAAGUAAUAUUUAAAAAUAAGUUUCCUAAAAAUGAAGAAUACGACUUCUAUAGUAGAAAUAGGAAAAAUAAAUUUCACAAGUGAUAUUCCACAUUUUAUUACGUACUCACAAUCUUCAACACAUCUCAUCUUCAUUUUGUCCCCCAUCCAUGAUAUUUGCGUAAUUAUACAAUAAUAUUUUUAUUUACGUAAUGAACACAAAAAAAUAAAUUAAAAUACUUUUUAAGAUGAUUUUUCUAGAAAACAUUUUCAUGAAAAGAAAGCCUCCUACCAAACACACCACAAAGAUUUCGAAUUCAAAUUUUUUUAAAAGAUUUAAAAAAAUAAAAACAAAAAAUAGACUCAUUUAGACAGCGCUGCACCGCCAUUUUGUUUGGAUUGAAUUUGAAGUGGAAAGAAAUUUGAGAUAAUGGCUACUAAGACGACCCUCGUUCGAGUGAGCCCUCUGCUUGUGGAAAAUAAGAAGAAGAAAACAAAAUGAUAAAAUUGUGUUUCAUGGACACCAGGUAAUAUUGACUCCGUCAAUGGAUAUGACAUUGUUUCAUUAGGCAUACAAUUUUAAAAAUAAAUAAAUUCUUAUUUUAAAUUUAUAACUUAGAAUAAAUCAUAAGUAUUUAUAUGGCAAUAGAUUAUUUCAUUAAGAUAAAAUGAAAAACUUAAAAUAAUAAGAUUUUUUAAAUAAAAAAAAAAAAACGAUAUACUUUUUGAGAUUGAUUUAAAAAAUAUAUAUACUCCAUGAUGAAUUUUUAUUUUUUCUGGAAGAGAGUUUUAUAAUGAUUAGGCCAAUGCUAGUUCCCUCACAAAAAUAGUCAAGCUCAAGAUGUGCCAUUUAUAUUUUGUUUGGUUUCGCCCCCGACAGCAAAAUGGUGAUAGAGAUUUAGGCUGCAUUUGUUUUCUUUUAAGAUUGUGAAUCUGAAUGCACAUCUCAAUGAUUAAGAUAUUGUCUCUAGAUUUAAAAACUGAAUGAUUAAGAUUGUUUAUUUUUCAAUAUCUGAAUGUGAAAAAAGUUUUUAUUUAUAUAUAUAAUAAAAUAAAAAAUACAAUUCAAGUAAAAAACUAACUAUAUAUCAGAAAAGUAUGUAAUUUAAUACAACAAAAUUAUUAUUUAAUUGAAAAAAAUAUUUAUGUUUGUUAGUAAUAGUGGAGAUGGUUUAUAAUAGUGGUUGCGGUGACAAUGAUUGAUGUUAGUGAUUAGUAAUGUUGGUGGUGAUAGUUGUGAUGACUGGUAUUGUAUUGACUAUUAUGAUGAUGGCGCUUGAUAGUGGUGGUGGUGGUUGUGAUGUGACAUUUCUUGAUGUUAGUAGUUAGAGGUGUCGAUUGUGAUGACUGACAAAUGAAUGCAUGAUGAUUGACGAUGUGUUGGUGCUAGUUGGAGAUGUUGUUAGUUGUGAUAGUGGAGAUGGUUGUUAGUAGAGAUAAAUUGUAGCGAUGACAGUGGUUGAAGUGAUGGUAGAGGUGGCGUUACUAGUAAUAAUGGUAGUGGCGGCCGAAGAAUGUGUGGAGGUUGUGAUGUAUUAGUGGUAGUUAGUGGUGGUACUAGUUGUGAUAGAUGAGUUGGUCGAUAGUAUGGAUUGGUCGGUAAUGGUUGAUGAUGGUGGUGUUGUCGACGAUGUUGAUGGCGGUGAAUAGAAUUAGAAUAAUAGAGGUAGUAAGUGUGGUAGCGGUUGACAAUAGUGGUUGAUAGCGAUAUUUGUUAUCGAUAGUGGAGGUGGUUGGUGGUGGGUAGGUGGUGAUUGACAAUGGUUGCAGUGGAAGAGGUGGUUAGUGAUAGUGACUGAUGAUUAUAAAUAGACUGACGGUGAAUAUUAUCCAACACGAGAUUACCUUUUCAGACCUAUUAAGACUUGAUUCUAGAUCUGAAUGAUUAAGACUUAUUAAGAGCUAAAAUCUUAAUAAAAAACAAAUGCACUUAAUGGUCUGAAGUCUGAACCGUUCAAAUUUAGACCUCCAUUAAGUGCAAAUAAAUGAGCCCUUAGAAUUAGAUAACCUUUAAUCUUUUUGGUGAUAUAAUGAUUAUGAAAGAAAUUUAUGACACGUACUAGCUUAUUUUAUAGUCUUGUGUUAAGAGUUCAUAUUUUUCCCACAUGGUAUUAUUAGUAUAAAUAAUUCUUUUAAUUCCUAGAAAACCUAUAAUCUUUGUCACAAUUUUUAUUUUUCGGAGGAGCAUUUUGUGGUAAUAUGCUUAUUGUGUAAUAACUUGCAAAUUAUACAGAAGAUGUAAAUUACAUUAGGCAAACCCAACGCAACGAGUUCACAGGUAAGCGACAGAUGGAGGUUGAAUUCAAUCCCUGAUUUCCAAUAUGAGAAACUCACCUCUCAACCGCUUAAUUAUGUCCUAACAGACAAUAGAUAAAUUUUGAUAAGUUCGUUAUUACAACUUUUUUUUUUCUAAAUCAUUAUCAAUUUUAUAGGUGUGGAGUGUGAACUAAUUAUCCCUAUCAAAGAUCUAAUUUAUGGAGCUCAAACACACACACACUCCCUUUUCUACCACUUUUUCCUUAUCUCCUAUUCUUCUUUGAAUUAGUCUUUCAACUAUAUAAAUAUAAUUUCUUUCCUUUUUUUGGAUUGUUAGAUAGCAUUAAAAAAUUAAAAUACGUCUGCUACAACCCUGCUUUCUUUUUUUCAUAUCCCUUCUUGUCUUUUCACUUUCCUCUUUCUCUUUGACAUAAUAGAGUUAAUCAACAAAAUCAAGCUCUUUUUCUAUUGAGUAAUAUCUCUAAUAUAUACUUUUUAUUUUAAUUAAUUAAAAAUAAAAUAAAAUAAAAUUAAAGCCUUUUAUAUUGAUUUUUAAAUUUAUUUUGCUAUUUAAAUAAUGCUAAUUGUGAAAUAAAUCUUGUUAAAAAAAUUAACACUCAAUGUACUUUUCAGAAAGGUUGUCAAACACGAUCUACUUAAUAAAUAUUGAAGAAAAUAUUUUUUUUUUCACCUGAAUUUGUGAAAUAAAAUUAUCACCUUUGAAAAUUAAUAAAGUUAUUUCAAAAAAAAUAUAUUUUUCAAUGUAAGCAGUUUUCAGAAAGUUUUGACUAAACACUCUUAAAGUUUAUUGAGCCAUUAGUUCUUAUUCCCACACAGUAAAAUUAGCUCCCAUUUGAUAUUCACAGCAAACUAUACUAUUAUUUCAUUAUAUAUGCUUAUGUCAAGAUUAAGAUUAAAAUAUGUAUUAAUUAAUUGUAUAUAUGAUUUAGGAAUGUUGUCUUUGCAGCCUCAGUAUAAUUAAUCACCGCCCCAAGAUUGUCAAUUGUUUUCCUCGUUUAUUUAAUUAUUUAUGUUUUCACUGAUCAAAUGCAAAAUAAGUGUUUAGUGCAUGAUAAAGUACUUAGACCUGUUACCUACAAUUUUUUAGACCAUCACAUAGAAGUUGGUGGUUUAUUAGUAUAAUAUUUUGCCAUGUGAAAGUGUUCCAUCAUUCAAUUACUUUUUUGAAAACUUUAGAAAAAAUCAUAGUUGUUAUUUUCUUGAGUGGGCACUGUUAGAAACACAUAACAAGAACGAUUAAAUCAUUAGAAAUUUGACAUAAUCGUAAAACAGGAAGUAUACUAUAAUGCUACUCAUAUAUGAGAAAAGUUAAAUAAAUGCAGGUUAAUUAAGACUACCACACACAGAGUGACAGAGAGGAACUUGAGUAUAGUAAAAUUUCUAGAACAUUUCUAUGAUCGAUGGUUAGGUAAAGUUGUGUGGUUUAUAUAUAUAUAUAUAUAGCUCUCUUCUGUAAUAGACUUAAAUAAUAUUUGAGUGAUUUGUAGUUAAUUAUCAUUGAUACUUGAGAUAUUGCAUCUCUUGACUUUCAACCUUGUGCUUGCCUCUAUCUAGAAAUAGUCUUGAACAUUAGUUGUAUCUUUGUUUUGAUUCAUCAUUAAAGAUUAAAAGAAAGAAAAACAUAGCACCCUAAUUUUGAAUGGUGCAUCUUAGAUGGUAAGUUACCGAAUUCAGACUUUUUGUUGAAGUAAGGUGUGAUCUAAUGAUCAAUAAAGUGAGUAGAUUACAAUUCUUUCAUCUGCAUGUUAAAAUUCAAUAAAAUUAAUCGAGAUACGUCUAAAACAAGGAUCGUAUAAUUAGAGGAAGACGGUCACAUUUGUUGAUUAGUACUUAUAAUUUCUAGUUAGUCGUUGGUCGUUAGCCAACCAAUAAAGCUCUUAAAUUAUGAGAUGGACGAGUCAAUUAGUCUAUGCUCCAGCAUACAGGCCAAACACAAAAGAGACCAUGUCCCCUUAACUUUCAUUUUUUUUCAAUGACAAUUUCUACACAAAGUCAAAUAACAUCGUCUAUUUUAGACUAUAACUUGAAUCUCAGUACUGAAAAUACGAAUUCUUAUUAAUGGUUGAUCAUAUUCAAUUCAAGACAAACAUGCAUUAUUAUAUAGCACUAGACAUCAAAUUUCUCUAAAAUAAGUAUUGAACAUUCUAUAUAGUAGUUGUUGUGUUGAAGAAUUUCUUUUUUAUAUAAAAGAAAAAUAGAAAUAUUGUCAGUUAUUUAAAUUUCAUUUAGACAUUCGAAAUUGAGACAUAUUUUGAAAAAUAAAGUGAACAAUGUUUCUAUUAGACACUUUUGACUCAAACUUUGUAAAAAAAACUUUUGCGUGUCUUUUCAAGAGCCAAUAUAAAUAAGUUAACCACUUAAAAUAUGUUACAUUCUUUAAUUACACUCAUUUAUCUAAUUAAAUCAUAAAAUUUCAUGCAUGUUUCAAUUAAAAGCUAAAGUGUAAUUAAAGGAUGAGACAUUUUCUCUGUGUUUCAUUUAUUUACAUCAUAGAAACUCGUGAACACACAUAAAAACUUUUUUAAAAUAUAAGAAAUAUGUAAUAUAGUAGUAGGAACAUUCAAUCAUAUUUGAGAUUCUCAAUUAGAACAUUAAUCCAUAAUUCGAGUGCCUUACCAAAAUUUGUGCAUUAAUAAAUUUAAAGGAUUAUCGAUGCUUUCUGUUUUAUUUAUGCUACAACUAAUCGAUGAGGUGGGCAUAGUAAAUCAUGCAGUGACGUAUACUAAAUGACGUCUACCAUAGUAAGAGUAAUCACAAAUUAUACGAAAGUUGUAUCUUAUGGACUAUUUAAUUUAAUAUUUGCUGAUUAAUUAAUUAAAACGUUGUGAUAAGUCCAGCUUAGCUAGCAUCUACUAGGAUAAUAGGUACUUGGUGUAUAUCUUGAUUGCAAUCCCUAGUGAAGAUUCACACACAAACUCGAUAUGUUGGAUAAUCGAUUUAGAAACAAUAUUAUAAAAUACUCACUUUUGGUUUAUAGGUUUGAAAAUGCAAAUUGACUAUUAUUAUAUUAACAAGAAAAAUGACAAGCAAAUGAGGACUAAUGGAACAAACAUUUAUUUAGUCUAAAAUGAAGUUUCAAUAACCUUAGUUGGGGAUACUGGUCAUCUAGAAAGCUGAUAUUUAUCUCCCUUUUUGUCAUCAAUUUUGAAUUUCAAAUGAGAUAAUUAUUUAAUCUUGAUGUGAAAUGUUGAAAUAUUAACAUGCAGUCCUAAAUGCGCAAAUAUAUUUCAAGUGAAGUUUUUAAGAUUUUAGUAAAAGGCUGAUUAAGAAUUUUUUAAUAAGUAUUUUUUUUAGUCGAAGUUCCCAGAUUUCCUAGAUAUAUAGGCCAAAGGAAAAUAGAGGUGUUUUAUGCCUGACCUCUAUAUUACAAAACUUUUUUUCAUUAAUCAUAUUAUUUGAUCUAUUAUAUUCAAAAAUUUAAUAUUUGUAAGAUAAUUAUUUUUAAGAAAGAAAAAAAAAACUAACUUGAUUUUCCACUAUAUUGUCUUUUUCUUAAUAGAAAACUAGUUCAAAGAUAUUAAUCAAAGUAUUAUCGGCUUUAGAUUUCUAUCAAUUUGGACUUAAAAUCGUUUAGAGUCCAGGCAAAGAAAUGGAAGAAGCCCAAAAAGAACUAGUGAUUUUGAUCUUCAACUAGGGACAAGGACUGAAAUGGUCAUUCGAGUGAAACUAUUGACACAGGAUGAUCCAAGAAGCUUAAAAGACAUUUUUUAGCUCUUUUUUAAAAAAAUAAAAAAAUCAUUUACUAUUUUUUUUUUCGAGCUACUUUCCAACAUAUGUAUCAUUAUUGUAUACAAAAUGUCUCUCUAUUGUAUAUAUAUGACAAAUGUAUCAUAUCCAUAUCAAUAUUGUAUCACUACUGUAUAAAACGAUUUUCAGCAUAUGUAUAGAAAUUCUAUCACUACUAUAUAUGCAUAGGAAGUGUAUUACAUGUAGAAAAAAUAUAACAUUGUUUAUGUAUUCCUUUGUAAAUAAAAAAAUGUACCAUUGCUAUACAAUUUUAUGUAUAAUGUGUGUGUGUAUAUAUAUAUAUAAAUACUCACUAAUUAUACAUAUAUUAUACAAUUAUUAUACACAUGAUACACAUUUUAAAGAUAUUACUUGAAGACAACAUCAGAGAUCGAAAUCUUCAUCGUCCAUGAAACCACCACACAUAUUUCACCAAGAAAUAUCCAUAGUUUUCUUUACCUAUAAACAUCAUUUAAAGCUCCAUAGAAAAAAAUAAAUAACUAUCUCAAACACCCAUUAACAUAUCCUGGCUCCUUCACCGCUAUUUUUCACCAUUAAAAUGGGGCCAUGGUUGUUGUUGAACCAGCUAUAUAUGUAACUAGCAGCAAAUCAACACCUAAAAUAAUAUCUAAACUUGGAUUGUUUCACCCAAAGAAAACACUAUUAAAACACUUUGAAUUGCACUAUCGCGUCAUCAUUAUUAAGCUAACGAUAUCCGAUUGGCUACAAAGUGGGAAUGAAAUAGACCUAAGAAACGUUGGUUCAAUAUAUCAAACUUGGGCCGUUUUAUUGUUAUGGGCCACCUGGUGUCUUUUUCCAUAAGGAACAACAAAUGUUCAUGGUAACUUACAUAAAUUCUUGAAUCUUUAAGUGAUAUUACAUAAAAUCGCGAUUAUUUUAUUAAUUAUAUUUUAUUUCAAUUUUUGAAAUGGUGAUACAUAUGUUAUACGGUGAUACAUAUAAAAAAUUGAUACAUUUGAAAAUGACAAAGAUAUUUAUUUAAGGAAAUAAUAGAAUCUUUUUUAUUUUGUGGAGCAAAUCACGCAUAAUCAGUUAUAUAAUGAAUUAAUCGAUUCAAAAAAAAAUUCAAUACCCUAAUUUCUGCCAAUUCCAAUUCAAUCCAAUAUGAUCUCAUCCACUUUCUCUACUGCCCCACUUUCCAUGGCGUCCAGCUCCACUUUCACUUCUCCGCCGUCGGGGACGGUAGAGAAAGACAAAGAGAUGCUUUGGCGUGAAAUCGAUGAGUGUUGAGAAUCGAAAGUUACAAUGUGCAGUGUUUUGUGCUUUUUUGAAGGUACGUGGAAUGGAGGAAAUGAUUGAAGAUAACAAUGAAUUGAAUUCAAGUACAGUUGUUGCUGCUGCCGCCGCAAUAGCAGUUAAUGCUUCUGAGAACAAAAUGCAUCACUCAUUAAUAACAUAUGAAACUCCCAAUAAUUGAAAUAAAUAAUUGUAUCUACCAUAUGAAUCACCAUAAUACCAUAUAUUUCACCCAUUAAUAUCAUAUGAAUCACCCAAUAAUUAAAAGAGAGAAUACAUAAUUACCCCCUGAUCUUGUCCGAGUUUUGCAAAAAGACACCUAAACUUUAACUUCGACCUAUUACCCCACGAUUCUUUUUUAUUUCAUUGCAAACACACCAUUUUUCACUGAAUCUCAGUCACAACAAGAAGAGUGAAAUACACGCGUCAAUCAGGUGUUGCCACGUGUCAGAUACGUUUAAUUGCAUUUUUUUUUAUUUUUUAAUAUAAUUUUUCUUUUUAUUUAAUUUAAACACCCCACCCCACCCCCUCUUCCCUCCCAAAUCCAGCACCUUCCCCUCCCCUCUCCACGUCCAGCACUCUCCCUGUCCAGUUUUUUUUUUUUAUUCAAAUCAAUUCAAAAAUUAGUUUUAUGAUUGGAUUGAAUUUUAAGGAUAGUUAAAUGAUUGAAUUGAGAUUUAAAGAUAGUUAAAUGAGCUUUAAUGGAGGAGCUUUAAAAAAAAAACUUCAAUGAAAGAGCUUUAAUGGUGACAUUGUGUUGAAGAGCUUUAAUGGUGUUGAGGAAGAUAUUGUGUUGAAGAAGAAAUGGUGGGUAGUUAAAUGAUAUGAUUUAAUUGUAAAAUAGAGUUUUAAUGAUAUGAUUUAAAAAGAAAAAAGAAAAAAACUUCAAUGGAGGAUCUUUAAUGGUGGCAUUGUGUUGAAGAAGAAAGGGUGGGGUUAUGGUGAUGAUGAUGAUGUUGUUGUUGUGACUGUAAUUGAUGUUGUUGUGGUUGUAAUUGAUGUUGUUGAGUGAUAGUGAUGAAGAAGAAGUUGGGGAAGAAGACAAUGGUGGAUGGGGGGNNNNNNNNNNGGUGGGGGGGUAUGAAAUAAUUUUAAAAAAUAAAUAAAUAUUAUUUUUUUAAAAAAAGAAUAUAAAUUAUAUAUUAAAUUAUUUUACACGUGGCAACUUUUAAUUGGUCAAAAAAGUCAAAUUUGAGCCCUUUCACGCGCCUGUGGCGCGUGUAUACACGCAGGGGGCCAAAAUGGUGUGUUUGCAACGAAAUAAAGAAGAAUCGUGGGGUAAUAGGUCAAAGUUAAAGUUUAGGUGGCUUUUUGCAAAACUCAGACAAGAUCAGGGGGUAAUUAUGUAUUUUCUCUAAUCAAAAUAAAUAAUUGUAUCAACCAUAUGAAUCACCAUAAUAUAAUAGGUAUCACCCAUUAAUAUCAUAUGUAUCACUCGUUAAAAUCAUACAAAAUGUAUCUAUCGUAUGAAUACCAUAAUACUCAUUUAAUGAUAUCAUAUUUAUCAUCCAUAUGAAUCACCAUUAAAAGAAUAAACAUGUAUGAAUAACUAAAUAAAUUUAUAUAUGUAUCAAUAGAUUUUUUAGAAAAAAUGGGAGAUAUUUUAGGAGAGGAAAAAAAAAAGUUGCAUGCUUUAAUGGAGGAAAAAAGAUCAGACAGGAAGAUGAUUUAAGCGUUAAUGGAGGAGAAAAAAUCAGGAAGGAAGAUGGCUUAAUUGUUGAUAAUUGGAGAGAUAUUUUAGGGAAUGAAUUUUUGAAAAAAAAUAGCUUGAAUGAGUUAAUGGUGGAGUAAAAAUAGGAUGUGGGGUUUUGUUGAUAUGUAUCGAGAGUAAAGUUGAAAAUCAACAUUUUAUGUAAAUUUUUAAAAAGUAACGGAUAUUAAAUAGUAUAAAUAACAUAAAUACCAACCCUUUGGAAAGUAAUUACACCCUCUCCCACUUUUUUAAUUACUUCAUUCUCUCUACCUAUUAAUAUACAUAACAUAGCCGACAUAUACAUAACAUUCUGUGUAUAUGUUGGGAUUUUUGUAAUAUGUUUAGGGAGUUGAAAUUUUUUGUAAUAUUGAAAAUAUAAGUUGUGUAUUUGUGUAAUUUUUAGUAAGUAAUAUAGUCUCUUAAGUUUGGGAUAUGAGUUUAGGCCUUUGUCCAAUGAAGUGGGCUGCUUUUCGCCAGCAUUUACUGGCUUAUAUUACUAGUAAGAGGGCCAUUAAUUUGAAGUGCAAACAACAUAAAUCCCCUAGACAAUGAAAAUAAUUACACAAAAUUCCUUUUUGUUUUCUCUCUCCCCUUUUUUGCAAACAUACUUAUACGUUCGGUCACAUAUUAUACAUUGGUCGAAUGUAUGAUGUAACAGCUAAUCCUAUAUUAAAGGUAAGAGAUUCUAUAAUUAUUUUACAGUUCCUUAAUUAAAGGUAGUAAUUAGCCAACAUUUAGUCAUUUAUUGAUAGAACAUAUAACUGAUAUUUGAAUUUAAAAAUUUUGUUAUACAUAAUUUUUUUUCCCUAUGAUUCACAAUCUGAAAAGCCAAAAAACCGCCACUUUCUUCUACAUCCGUUGUCCAAAACUUCUAAAAUCUUCUUUUACAUACGUUCUUCAAUACUAGUAAAAUCAAUAUGAAUAUCCCCAUAUUGUUGCGACAUUCUGAAAUUUGGGAGUCAGAAAUUAGUUAUACGUCAUACAAAAGUGACACAAUAGUAAUUUCGGUAAAUGCAGACGAGUCGAUCACACCCUCAGGACUUGCGGUUUCUUUCCAAAGGAAUCAUGAAGAAUAUAAUAUGGUUUUCUAUGUGCGGAUACUUUGAAUGGUUUCGAUUGUAUAAAUAUUUUUUAUUAGUUUUUUUUUUGGAAUGCCGGAGCAAGUAAUUUAUAUUUUUUUAUUGAUUAUAGAUGCUAAUUUCUUUAAUCAAUGAUUUAUAUUAGUAUAAAAAUUUUAAGCUUUUUCCCUAUAUCAUAGUUCGUAACCACAUAACUUGAAGUUAGAAUACUAUUAUAAAAGCACAUUAACUAUGUAACUUACUCUCUACAGGAGUAAGUAAUUGUUGAAACGCACGGUGUAUUAAACUGUUGUACAUUAAUAGUUAAUGUGUAAUAAAUGUAUGAUAUAGCAUUAUACAUUUUUAACAUGUAUGAGGUUAGAAAUACAAUAACGAAAUUUAACUGAAUUCAAUUUUAAAAAAAAAAUUAUACACAGUAUCAUUCCAGUAAAUUUACGAAUGUAUAAUAUGUUUUUAUACAGUCAAAUCAAUAUAAUAAAUGUGUGCCUUUUCAGUAAACGUUUGAAUGUAUAAUAAGUUGUUAUACAUUCAAAGCAACGUAUAGUGAUACUGUGCUAUUCCAGUAGACUAACGAAUGUAUAAUAUUUGAUUAUACAUUUGUAUCAAUAUAUGAUAUAGCAUCAUACAUUAUAAAUAUGCAUGGUAUUAACAAUUUCUGUAAUUUUUUACAAGAAAUAAACAUUUUACAACAUGUAUGUUGUUAUGUAAUACAUACGUUUAAAACGUAUUAGUCUUUAGUUCAAUGUAAGACUCACUUAUAAGCAAAGAUACAUAACAGGAAACAUACUAUGUGUUCAAAAUACAAUGUCAGAUUAAUUAGUAAUAUGUUGUUUUAAUCAUUAAUAAAAUAAGUGAAAGGGAAAUUCAAUAAGUACCAUGAAUCAGUUAGUAACAUUGCAGUAGUGUCUCAGUGACUAAAAAGCAUAUUCUCAUAAGAUGACAUCCAUAAAUGUAAAUUAACAUCCAGAAAGUAAUCUUUGAAUUCAUUUAACAUCAACCACAAAACUAAGAUUUAGUUGAUUCAAUUUCGACUUUUAUUAAACAAUGCUAUUCUAAAAUAACAAUUGCACUUUCAUCAAUUUGUUGGAGCACACUAUUCCUUGGCCGAGGAGGAUCACCAUUAUCACUCGUGUACCCUUCAUUUGCCUUUUCUACUCCGUAAUGCCACAGUAAUGAAGUAUAGCGUACAUGUUGACUUCCAACAUCAAACACACAUGAAUGCACUUACUGCCCUUCACUUUAUAUUUCUGCAUAAGCAGCAACAAAGACGACACCGUCCCUAAUUUAAAAAAAAUAAAAAUGAAGUAACAGUAAGUACAUUAAUUUAAACAUAGUUAUACAUUAUAAAAAAAAUUGUAAUUUACUUAAAAACUUUCAGAUGUUUGCUGGGGUAUGUUUUGAACAAAUUCAACAUCAAAUGCGUUUUGAUUGACAUGUAUGAUGGUAGCUUAUACAUUUAAUGUAAUAUCGGAUAUACUUAUACAUCUCAAAUGUAAUAUCGAAUAUACUUAAACUACAGGCAGACAUGUAUGAUGGUAGCUUAUACAUUUUUAAAAAAUCUUCUUUAAUGAAUAAUGUCAACUUAUACAAUAAUCUUUUAAAAUACCUCUUUUAUGUACAUCUUCUUAUUGUAUAAUAUAAUGAAAUAUAAAGCAGAAAACUAAUAUUAUACAUUAGUUUAAAAAAUAAAGUAAUGUAUAAUCAAAUAAUAUAAACGUGUAAUAUCAAAUAUGCCAGGAACAAAACCAACAAACAUAUUUUGGUCUUGAGCAUCUAAAUGACUAAGUCCUAAACUAAAGCUAGGAUGAGAAUCCAUUACCAAAUUUAUACUAUAUUAAUUAAGCAAUCUCAACUAUAAACAAGAAAUUCAAAGAUCUGACUUAUAUUAUAUGAAAAAAAAAUUAGAAAAAAUCAACUAACAAACUAGAAUGAGAUUGCAAUAUAAGUUAAUUUCAUAAAAAUCAACAUGCAACCAAACAAGAAUCCGAAUAAGAACCCACAACUUUAAAACAAAAAACAAAGAUCUGACUUUUAAUAAAUGGAAAAAGAUGAUAUUAUCAAACUAUCACACUGAAAUGAAUUUGCAAAAGCAAUUAAUUUCAUAAAAAACAAAAAUGCAAUCAAAAAUCGACCCAAAUUGUGAUUUGGUAAAGUUGAAAAAAAACUAAAAAUUAUUGAAAAAAAUCAGUAUAUAAGUUCAAUAAAUGUUUGAUAACUUACAAAUUGGUAAUCUCUAAGUAUACGAUUGCUUGAAUUUGAGCGUGAAAAAAGGUAUUCAAUAAUGGAGGAACAAUCGGUUGUUUAAUGAAAGAAAAAAAUGAAGCAAAUAUGAAAAAGAGAGAGAAAGUAAAUGAGAAAGAGAGAGAAAGUAAAUGGGAAAAAGAGAGAAAGUAAAGAAUUGUUUAAUGGGAGAAAAAUGGAGUAAAUAUGAAAAAAAGAGAUAAAGUAAUGAUAAAGAAUCUUUUUGUUUUUUUAUGUAUAAGAGGAAUGAGAGAGAAAGUAAAAAAAUAGGGAAUUUUAGUAAUAAGUUUGGAAUUUAUGUAAUUAGUUUGUUAAUAUGGGAUGUGUUGUAAUAAGAUAAAUUUAGUUUGUGUAUAUAUGUAAUUUGUAGUAAUUUGAAUUCCAUAACCAUUUUCGUGUAAUUAAUUUAGGCCAAGUGGCCAUUUCUAUACUUUCCCCUUAAUCAUGAUUGGACAUUUAGGUUCUAGCCUCAUAAAUGCAGGCGAAUCGCAUGGAUAGCCAGGUCUUCAUUUAAGCUAUACCUGUAGUAUAUAAAUUUUCUAAGUUUAGCUAUUUCGAAAUCAAUUUCAAACAUUCACAACUAUGGGGUCGUUUGGUAGAGUGUAUAGAAAUAAUGCAAAAGAUGGUGUGUUAGUAAUGCUUGUGUUAGCUAUGCUCGCAUUAGUUAUGCUUGUAUUUUUCUUAUGCAGUGUUUGGUUUCAUAUAUUAAAAAUAAGGAAAAGGGUCAAAUAUACCCCUUAACUUUGCAAAAAGGAUCAAAUAUAUAUCCUCCGUUACAAGUUUGGUCCAAAUAUGCCCUCGCUGUUAAAGUUUAGGAGCAAAUAUGCCCCUAAACUUUGCGAAAAGGUCCAAAUAUACCCUCUGUUAUAAGUUUGGACCAAAUAUGCCCUCGCUGUUAAAGUUUAUGAGCAAAUAUACCCCUUAACUUUGCGAAAAGGUCCAAAUAUCCCCUCCGUUACAACCUAUAACCCGACCCACCAAUUUAGACCAACCCAUAACCCGAACCAAAUUUUGUUUAUCAAAAUUUCAAUCUUAUAAUGUUAUCGAAAUAUUUCAUCAGUUCAAUGACUCUUCAAAUAUUAUGUUAAUGUUGCAUUUUUCUUAUUAUCAGUAUGUUCUACUUCAAACAUUGUGUUGAUAUUGCAUUUUUCAAACUUUGGUUUGUUUUCAUGUUGUUUGGUUUUAUCACGAAGGACUCUAAUCUACUGAAAUAUUUCAAAAUGCAACAUUUAAUAAGAAAUAUUAACACAAUAUUUGAAAUAGAACACAUUGGUAAUAAGAAAAAUGCAACAUUAACAUAAUAUUUGAAGAAUCAUUGAACUGAUGAAAUAUUUCGAUAAUAUUAUAAGAUUGAAAUUUUGAUAAACAAAACUUGGGUCGGGUUAUGGGUUGGUCCAUAUUGGUGGGUCGGGGUAUGGGUUGUAACGGAGGGUAUAUUUGGACCUUUUCGCAAAGUUAAGGGGUAUAUUUGUUCCUAAACUUUAACAACGAGGGCAUAUUUGGGCCAAACUUGUAACGGAGGGUAUAGUUGGACCUUUUCGCAAAGUUUAGGAAUAUAUUUGCUCCUAAACUUUAACAGUGAGGGCAUAUUUGGACCAAACUUGUAACGGAGGGUAUAUUUGGACUUUUUCGCAAAGUUAAGGGGUAUAUUUGACCAUUCUCCCUUAAAUAACACAUGAAUUAAAUAAUUUCUUAAUUUUUUAUUUUUUUUUACAAAAAUAUCCUCCAUAUAUAUGUUGGAAAAGAUGUGAAAUUUUUUUUGAGGGAUAAUAGUGUCUUUAAUCAUGUUAAUGCAUGUACUGGAUCCAUUGCGUUGCUAAUACCAUGAAUUUUGAGGUAUUAGUAAUACACACCUUAACACACAGUAGAGUGUAUAACUAAUGCUUGCUAAUGCGAACAUUAGUUAUACAUAGAGUGCAAAAGUCUACCAAACAAGGUAUUAAUAAUACACAUUAAAUUAAUGCAUACAUUAGUUUUUCAAUACACUCUACCAACGACCCCUAAAAGUGCAAAAAUUCAUGUCUAAAGUUUACAAUAUUUCCAAAUCUUUUCGCUUCAAGUUUGGCCUUGCAAGCCAAGACUUUCAACAAUUUUACUUGAAAUGGUAGAAUUAUGACAGUAGGAAAAUUUGGAUGUAUGAACUUAAGUCAUAUUUGACUGUACUUUAACUAUUAUACGAACUCCGGAUAUAAAUGUUAAAAGUUAAGCUUGCCAAAAGUUUUUAUCUUUAUGAUAUUCAACUUAAGUUAUAGUAGUUUCUUGAAGUUGUUAGCCAAUAUUUUUAAAAUAAUUUCAAUCAGUCAACUCAAAAACAAGCUGAUAAUCAGAAUAAAUUAAUUGCUUGAUUAUGAAAAUUGCUUUUCAUUAAAGAAAGUGAACAAAAAAUCGAUAUAAAUUAUUUGCGGUGAAAACAUAUAAUGCGUUGCUAGUGACUAGCACUUUACUAAAUGUCAUAUGUGUGCCAAUAUCCUAAAUUGUUAUACUACUUCGAUUCUCUUAUUAUUUUUUAUAAUUUGAAAAAAAAACUAAAAUAUAUUGAUAUUCUAUAUUUUUAUAGCAAAAUAUAUAAGAUACACAUGUUUUUAUGUAUCAAUCAACUUAGCAGUGAACACUAUUAUCUCAAUAGAGACGACAAUAAAUACCUGACAUACAUAUAUAACCCACAUACAACAUGUAUAUUUAGGUGUUGAUUUCCCCAUAUAUACAACAUACACAUCAAAUACACUUUACAUACCCUUCACAUAUAGUUGGUUGCACAUACAAUUUGAAAACAUACACAUUAGAUCUAAUUGACCGUACAUACAUUUCACAUCUUUACAUACAUAAAUACACAUCCAACUUCUACUUUAAAAACACAUUUUUUUUGUUUCUCAUCCGGUGUCCGGUACCCGCAUUAGAACCUCAACUAAUCCGAAUCGCGCGUUGCAGGACCCAUUAAGGUACAGAGGCAGAGCCAGCCCUCUUUAGCGGGUUCGUCCGAAUUUCCUUCGACGGAAAAAUAUCUUAUUUAUACAUAAUUACAAUUAUUUUUUAUGUGGUUAUAGUAGGUGUUGAUCUCCUUUCGACUUAGUUUUCUUUGAAUAUUAAAUCCCCUUACUUGAAAUCCUGAUUCCACCUCUAUUAAAGUGACAGCGCUCCCAACAAAAUUUUCUACACAUAUACAUUAUAAUUAAAAUCUGAUUUUAAAUCCAUGUGAUUUCAAUGAGAAUUAUAUUUUGUAUGCACUCAGAUACAAUAUGUUGGCACAGCCACCAAAGAUGACUCCGUCUUGGUCUUGUGGAAAAGAAAGCACGACUAGUCAAUCCUACCAACCCCUAACUAUUCUUCCUUGCACUUUCUUGAAUGGUUGUUACCUUUUGUCCAUUUUAAUGAACAUAUUUGAAUUAGAAAAAACAUCUUUUUUUUCGUGAACUUGUCCUCUCAAUUCACUUUAGCAUUUAAACUUAACUUUUAUUUAUUUAUCUCUUUAACAUCUUUAAAGUGAAUUAUUUCAACCCCUUAACAGCCAGCAUGUAAACAAGCGUUGCUGGGCGCGUAAAAACUCAUUUUUGUCUUUUUAAUUUCUUUUCUCUUUCUUUUAAAUACCCGUUUGAAUCCCCGGUUAUAUAUGCAUUUUUCUAUGAAAAAAAAUUCCUAAUUUAUCCUCCUUCUUCUUCAUCUUCAAUCCAAAAUUUCUUCAAUUCAUAAAAGUGAUGCAUAAAUUUGAGAUUAAAAAAACAUAAAAUCGAAUUGAUUUUAGCUUCGUCUCUUUCCGUAUUAAGGUAUAAUCUCAUUCAUAACUUUGUCUAUGUUUUAUUAGGAAUUAUUUUCAUAAUGAAUUUCUGAAUUACUUUGUUUAUCGUCUCCUUUAAUUUUGUUUCUAAAUUUUAUCUUAUUUGCUGAAAUGAAUUUCUUGUAGCACACAAUAAUGAAGUCAGUUAACUUGAGUAAACUAUGUAUGGAGGAAAAUGAUUCUGCUUUGAAGCAAGUUAUUCAUUGUAAUCACGGAAUUUUAUUGCAUUUGAAGACAUCUAGGACUUCAAGUAAUCUCGAUAGAAGGUAUUGGGCAUGUCCUUACUAUGGGGUAAAUAUCAAAUUUUACAUUUUCUCUUGUUAUUUUGACAGAAUUGAUUAAGAGAAAUGAGGUUAAUUCAUUCUUUAUUUGUCACCAUUGAAGGGUCCAAGAUCUUGCGAUUUUUGGCGUUGGAGGGAUUCAGAAGACAUUGAUCUGAGGUCCAAAUAUGUAAUUCCUAAACUAAUUAAAAAAUUAGAUGAACUUGAGAAUGUAGUUGAAUCUUGUCGUUUCAAUGAAGUUGAGAAAUUGAUUGGAUUGAGCAAAUCAAUCAUGGAAGGUUCAGAAAAAGUUGACAAGCCUAAAGAAUCCAAACAUGAUGAUAAUGGGAUUAAUAUGAAAUUAGAGAAGUUGGAAGAAGAGAUUCGAAAGAUCAAGGAGAAAGAAAAAAAUUGGAAACGAAUAGCUGAAGGAAGGACUAGAGACAAUACUCACUUCUUUGUUGUAUUUUUUUGCUGUAUAUUAGUAAUAGCUUCAAACUAUUUGGUUGGGAUGCUCUUUAUGAAAAAUGGUUCAAUAAGGUUACCUUAGCACUAGGUUGUUGUUAUAUGAUGUGUUGCAAAUUAUUGUGUUGAGUAGUGCAACUUCUUUUGUAUUUGGAUUCUCUUAUAUAUAUAUGAAGAAGAGAAAGAUUGUUAGAUGAAAUGAAUCAUGUUUAUUUAUCUUUUGUAAUGGUGCAACUUGUAUUUUUUUUUUUUUUUGAGUAUUUAUUGUUAAAUUGAUUGCAUUUGAAUCAUUUAGUAACCAAAAAAUAAGUGCAGGCAACAAAUUACAAUUUGAAGCUGCAAAAAGGUCAAAAUACAGCAGGCAUAACACAAUAGAAAUACAGUCACAACUGCUGAUAUUGCAACAGAAAUACUAGCCAAAAAAAUGCAAUCACAGCUGCUGAUAUUUCAACAGAAACAUUAGCUAAAAAAUGCAGUCACAGUUGCUGAUAUUUCAACAGAAACAUUAGUAAAAAAUAUAGUCACUACUACAUCAUUAUUUUCAAAACAUGUUAAAUUAGUACAGUCACAGCUGCAUAGUUGAAGUCACUACAAUUGAACUACUAGAUAAGUUAAAAUCACUACUGUUUCAUUACACACCAUCAAUACACAAAGAGAAAAACAUAAUUAGGCUUCUACUGAAAAGUUGUUGAACUUGUUUGGCUUAGAUGAUUCAAUUCAGCAACAUUUGACCUUGUCCUCAUUCUUUUCUGUGCUCUUAUGUCUUCAAGUCCUUGUUGGGUCACAACUUUCUUUCUUUUUCAUUUCACACCUGAGGUUGAUUUGUGAUGUCCAAGAUUUCCAGUCACUAUGGAGGAGUUCAUAGGCAUUCCAGGCUAACAAAAAUAAAAGAGAACAAAUUUAACUAAAGACUUGAAAAAGGUUUACUUUAAACUAGACAAAUAUAAUCAAGAAAUUUUAACUUACAUUGAGAAUUUUAAAACCACUCUCUGUAUAAAGCACCCCCAUUUCAAGCAUCCUAGGUCUUUUAUAAGUUGUCCCUCUACCUUUGCUAGCAUCAGUGACACCGUCUUCUCUUGAUGUACCAGCACAACCAACAUCACCAGCUCCUCUAUCUCUACCAGCUCCACCAACAACUGCAGGACCAACUCCUCUAUCUCUACCAGCUCUACCAACAACUGCAGCAUCAACUCCUCUACCUCUAUCAAUAGUACUGUCAACAGCACAAGAAGUUUUUUUUCCUCUAUCAACACCCAUAGUAGCAGCAGUUACUACAGGUAAUCCUCUUCCUCUACCGGUAGCUGCUGCUGCAGCCUACAACGCACAAGAAAAAAUAUAAUAAGAAUAAAAAAUGAAAGAAAAUAAAAGAGAAUUAAAAUAUUAGUAAAUUACAAGUCAAAUAUUACCUUUGUAGAUCCUUUUGGUCUUUCUCUCCCUCUACUUGUGCUUGGUGCUGCAGAAGAAGAACCCACACUAGUUCUAGUGGAACUUGAAUUCAAUGGACAACUCCUUUUAUUAUGACCCUUGUUGUGACAUGUGUUACAGGUCAUCUCAAUUCUACUUUUUGACAACUUUCCAAUCCUGUUUUCAUUUUGCUCUUUUUUUCAGAUUUAUCGGAUCUGCCUGAAAGUUUUUUUAUUGUAGGUGGUAUAACAGAAAGAUUGGUUGACUUGGACCACAUUUUUAUACCAGUAACAGGCUGAAUGAAGUAACUAUAAGUCUUGAGGUAAGUUUUCUUGGUAUACCAAUGUGCAACAUAGUUAAUGGGUUCUAGCUUUCUAAAGUAUAGUGCAGCUAUGGCAUGACAACAAGGUAUCCUUUUUAACAUUCAAGACGUACAUGUACAAGUAUUAUCCCUCAAAUUCACUUUAAAAGUAUUUAUUCAUCUAUACUUAACUUCAAAAUCAAAUUUACCAUUCCACUCAAGAGUACACUUCAUUGAUUUUGAUGUGUUAUCUUGCAACACUUUUAGUGCCAUAGGAGAAAUAUCAGUUAUCCAUAUUUCAGGAAACUGUCUCAACUGUCCUAUUCUUCUCAUCACCUUAGCCCUUAUUUUCUCAAACAUUGAUAUGAUAGUCUUGUAUCUUGGCCCUAGUAUCCAUGAGUUGAAGUUUUCAGCCAUGUUGUUGUCAACACUAUCACAGCAACUAUGAUAUUUGAAGUAAACCUUAGACCACCUUUCUAUUUUGUACCACAGAAGAUCUCCACAAAUUUUAUCUCCUAACAUCUCCAUAUGAUCUAAAUUUCUUCUCAAUUCUUGCUCAUAUGUAGAUUUGGCACACUUCUAAAAUUAGUUUCUUCUUUCAAUACCUCUCCAAUCCUUAGAUCAGUUGGCUAGAACAUGUUUAGCACACAUUCCCUGUUCUGCAUUUAGCAGUGAAUCUGAAAUUGCACUGUCAAAACCCUUGAACAAAAUAAAAUAUAUCAGUUGACAUAAGUAUAAAACAGGUGCAAAAUAAAAAAUUCAGAAAAUAAAUAAGAGAAAAUAAAUGAGGUUACCUUCUGCAUAUCAGUAAUAGUAGUCACUUCAGACCCAUCUCCCAGCUUAAGAUCAUUCCUCACAAGUCUAACAAACCAUCGUCAAGUGAAUUUGUUUUCAACUUCAACCACUGUCCAGGCUAGUGGUAGUAUCUGGUUAUUUCCAUCCUUACAAACAGCCACAAGUAAUUGACCCUUACAAAUACCUUUAAAAAAACAACCAUCAAACUCAAUACAUCUCCUGACACCAGCUUUGAAUUCUCUCUUCAAAGCAUCAAAACAUAUGUAAAAUGAUUGGAACUAUUUUCUUCCACCUUCAAAAGUUUCUCACUAAGCCUCACUACACAUGUACUAUGUGGAUUGGUCUUUAAAAGCAUUGGUCUUUAAAAGCUCAUUCCUAUAAUCCAAAAAUCUUUUGAACUCCUCUACAUGAUCACCCAUAAUUUGCUGCAACACAAUAUUUCUAGCUUUUCUUGCUACAGUUAUCCCUAUAUACACCUCCAAAUCAUUUUUAACUAACUCUUGAAACUGACAAACUCUAAUUACAAGUUCUAAUGUGAUUCUGUCACUGUACCUUUCUGUCAAGUACUUAGAAUUCACCAAUUUGUUCUUUGUUGUGGCAUUACACUUGUGGACUGGAAUGUACUUCUUAACUUGAAAAUCUGUAGUCCCAGAAUUAGUGCUUGCAAACAACAACCAUGGACAACCAUCUACACACUUUACUCUCACCCUUUUUUGGUUCAUUCACAAACUUAUCUAGCUCUACAUGUUCUUGAACAACAUAUCUAGUAAAAGCUUUUCUAAACUCUCCAACAUUUGUAAAACAAAGUCCUCAUUUCUAGCAGCAACACCAACAUCAUCAAAGUCUCUACUACUAGCAAAAAAAUCACUACUACCCCACCUAAGCUCUCACCCCUAGCAGGAACACCACCAUCACCUAAGCCCCCACCAACAGCAGAAACACCAUCACCACAACUAUCUAAGUCCUUACCAAUAAAAGAAACACUAUCAUCACCACCUAGGUCUUCACUCCUAGCAGUACCAUCACCACUCAAGCUUUCAGUAAAAGUAGGUUCAUGAGGUAUUGCAGCUUCUACAAAGUUCUCUUCAACCUAAAUUAUCACAGUCUCCUAAGUCUUCACUCAACUCUUUAUCAAAAGUAGGACAAGAUUCUCCUCCCAUAUGGGGUCAUAUUCAAUAGAUGGGACCACAUCAGCCUCAUCAACUAAAUGUGUUAAAUAUAACUCAACAACAUCUCCAUUUUUAAGUUGAGGUAAAAUACCCAAAAUGUCCCUAUCACAUGUUACUAUUACUAAUUUUUUUCUUUUGGGAGGUCUGAGAUAAAUAAUACACGAGAAACAAUUAUACCCAAUUUCCUUCACGACAUCAAUAAAUUCAAAGUAAGAAAGUCUAUCUGCAUCCGAAUCGAAACAGUCAGUAAUAGUACCUCCAUGAUACUUAAUACGAGGUUUUUGUUGUAAUUUGCCUCCAUGGUGAAACCUCAAUGUAACAUACACAAAAUUCAUGGUUAAUCUGAAGAAAAGUAAAAAAAAAAAAAAGAGUUUAGAAUUUAUUCAGGACAAAAACCCUAAUAUCAAAGUAAAACAACCUUAAUAAUCACCUAACUAGUCAAAUUUCGUCAUGGAGCAACACAGAAAUCAUAAAAAAUCACAGAAAUAACCUAAUUUGAAGUGAAAUCGGGUGAAACUGAAAGGUUUUAGAGAGAAAAAGGUGAAAUGAGUUAUUAUUUAGGUUUUGGGGUAUUUGAUAAGAGUGGGUCGGGUUAUAAACGAGAAUGGGUCGGGUUAUAACAUCAACCAAUCAAAGGGCGCGUGCUUAACAACACCCAACCUUGACUUGGAUUAGGCUGUUAAGGGGUUGAAAUAAUUUACUUUAAAGAUGUUAAGAAGGGUAAAUAAACGAAAGUUAAGUUUUAGUGUUAAAGUGAGUUGGGAGGAUAAGUUUAGGGGGGGGGGGGGGAAUGUCUUUUCUCUAGGAUAGAUAAUAUAUUUUUAUGGUAAUAUAAUGUUAUACAUAAGUAAUUCAAAGGAUAAAUUUAUAUUUUUAUCUUUUUAAAAAAGAAUAAAUUUAUGAGAAAAAUAUGAUACAAAUAAAAUUAUUAUAUGAGAUAGAGUGAAGAAUAGUAUAAAAUAAUUAAUAGAUAAUAAGUAACGAUAAAAUGAGAAGAAAAAAAAUAAGAUAAUGAUGCUAUCACAUUAAAAUGACCAUGUUAUUGUUAAUUAAUGAGAAGAUAAAACCAGAAGAAAGAAAGAUAAUGAUGCUACCACAUCAAAUUAAUCGUUUCAUCAUUAAGUAACACUAACAUUAAUGAUAGAUAAAAGGGCAACUAGACCUACUAAAACUCUCACUAUGUACAAGAUUCGAAAGUAUAUCAAGCGAUAACGAUCCAUUAUAUAUAGUGUUAUCCUAUAUUUUUAUAAAAAGGUGUUUUCAAACUUCGAAUAAGUAAUCUUUCAAUCACAUGACAACGAUUUCACGGCUACUCCAACUCUCUUCUUCAAAUAAACGAUAAUGUAAUAAAAUAUUGUACUUUCUUCGUCACAUUUUAUGUAUCGUCCUUUUCUUUUUGAUUCGUCCCAAAAAGAAUGUCAUCUUUUCUUAUUUGGUAACUACUUAAUGGCAUAACUCUUAUUUUAUCCUUAGUAGAUCCCACUUUAUAAGAAAAUUUUUGCAAACUUUACAAAAUCAUUAUUUAUUUGUUAAAUUUCAUGUCCGAUCAAAUAACGAGACGAAUGGAGUAUUUAAGUAGCCGUUUGAACAUAGAAAUUUUUUCCUUUUUUCCAAAAAAUUAUUUCAUUUUUGUGAGAAAAAAUGAAAACAUGCACCGUUUCCAUUUGGCCAUGAAUUUUUCAACUCCAACUUUGAAAAAUUAUUUGGAAAAGUGAAAACAAGUUUUACUUCUCUCACAAAAUUUUAAAAACAAUUUGAAUUUAUAUUCAUGAUAAAACACAACUCCAACUUGAACUUCAACUUCAAUUAAAGGUAAUUUUCACCAAACUGGGCCUGAGUUGCAAUACAAGUAGUAACAAAAUCCAAACAAGUACUAGUAUUUAGCAAGCUACCAGUCAAACAUGGACAUUUUGUGUAGGAAUGAAAUGUAAGCUCCCCAACAAGUUCCAUGUCACUUCCAAUUCAUCAAUAAACCCAUCAAACACACACAUUCUCACUACACACACACACAACUCCACUUCCAUUUCCCCCAAUUCACUAUCCCCUAACAAAAAAUGGAAAAUUCAAGCCAAGAAUCCCAUCUCCGAUCCGAAAACUCCGUCACAUACGACUCGUCCUACCCCAUCUACGCCCUCGCCUUUUCCUCCUUCACCUCUUCUCUUCCCAACCGCCGCCGCCACCUCGCCAUCGGCAGCUUUAUCGAAGAAUUCAACAACCGCGUCGACAUUCUCUCCUUCGACGAAGACAGCCAUACCCUUAAACCCAUUCCAAAUCUCUCUUUCGAUCACCCUUAUCCGCCCACGAAGCUCAUGUUCCAUCCGAAUCCUUCUGGGUCUCUCAAGUCGAACGACGUGCUAGCGUCCUCUGGUGAUUAUCUCCGGCUCUGGGAAGUUCGGGAGACUUCUGUAGAGCCGCUUUUCGCUUUUAAUAAUGCGAAGACGAGUGAGUAUUGUGCUCCGUUGACGUCUUUUGAUUGGAAUGAAGUGGAGCCUAGAAGAAUUGGGACUUCGAGUAUUGAUACUACGUGUACAAUUUGGGAUGUUGAGAAAGGGGCUGUGGAGACACAGUUGAUUGCCCAUGAUAAAGAGGUUUAUGAUAUUGCUUGGGGUGAAGCUGGGGUUUUUGCUUCGGUUAGUGCGGAUGGAUCGGUUAGGAUUUUCGAUUUGAGGGAUAAGGAGCAUUCGACGAUUAUUUAUGAGAGUCCACAACCGGAUACUCCGUUGUUGAGAUUGGCGUGGAACAAGCAAGAUUUGAGGUAUAUGGCUACUAUAUUGAUGGAUAGUAAUAAGGUUGUGAUUUUGGAUAUUAGGUCUCCGGCAAUGCCUGUGGCAGAGUUGGAAAGGCAUCAAGCGAGUGUGAAUGCGAUUGCUUGGGCUCCGCAGAGUUGUAGACAUAUUUGUUCUGCUGGUGAUGAUGGGCAGGCGCUUAUUUGGGAGUUGCCUACUGUUGCAGGGCCUAAUGGGAUUGAUCCUAUGUCAAUGUACUCUGCUGGAGCUGAGAUUAAUCAAAUUCAGUGGUCUGCUGCGCAGCGUGAUUGGAUUGCCAUUGCCUUUUCCAACAAGUUGCAGCUGCUUAAAGUAUAAGGCGAUUGGCUGAUUGAAUUUUUCGUGUAAGAUAACUACUACUACUACUACUGCUUUAGUAUGUCUUUUUCUCCGUUGUGGAAAAGGGGUUGGAGCUUACAUGUUAUUGUGUGUCCUUUUUGGACUGCUUGACCGUGUUAUAUAUUUAGAUAGUUAUUUUGUCUGGCGAAAGAACAAAACAGGAAUGCUGAUUCAGUAAUUCCGAGUAAUUAUGAGAUCCUGCCGAUUGUUGUUUGUGGUAGAUAAUGUAUUAAUGAGUUAUUGAAUGAAGGAUGCCUGUUUAUGUGAUUUCACUUCUUGAUGUAGUUCGUGUAUAGAAAUAAAGUUUACACUGUAUCUGUUGAGUUAGGGAAAUUAACCUAUAUUGUGAUGCAAGAUGUGAAAUUUAACUCAGAGAAACUAGAAGCACACUUGAACUAGCUACUCGUUGAUGUGACUUCUUAACCAAUUGUUGGAUCAUCACACAUAUUUAGCAUUUAGUUAUGCUCUAUAGAAACAUUUUCAUAUUAAGUAAUAUGGUUUUGAAUGAUAUUAAUGACAAACGUGCUUCAACAUUAUGAAUAGAAGAACAAAGGCAGUACAUUCUUUGAUUACAUGAUGUCAUCAUUGUUUCCCACUUAUGCCUGAGUUUCUAUAUUUGGAUGGAUCAGUGGCAACCUAUUGGUGGAAAAUUCUACAUGCUUUAAAUCUGAACUCUCAACAUAUACUUCUAUGUACUAGCAUAGACGAUCCUGCAAAGUGGAAAAAAGAUUGAGCACAUGACUUGGUUGAUGAUACUUCCAAUUAUGUGGAAUAACCGAGCGAUAAAGUUUUUAUUGAGGAUCUUAAAUUUUGAAGCUUUAUUCAAGAUUUAACAUAAAAUAAUAUAACUGCAUCUUUUGAGUAUUCACUUCACAUCACUCCUGAUAUCCAUAAAAGAGCCUUAGGAUUCACAGUGGAAAAUAACAUGUCCAUUAUUAAUCAUAUUAGAAAAUAUUCUUAUUGAGGAAAAAGAAACUAAUAAAUGCAGCUCGAACAUCAAAGUGACAAAUUCUUCUCAAAAAAAUAUAGUAAAUAUUUAUUUGAGAUGUGAAAAGGCUAGAACAAGGAGGAAGCUAGAUAGUGAAUCAUGGCCAUGUUAUUUUUCAUUAGCAGAUGAUGAGUAGAAAAUCAAGAAAAGAAGAUAACUGUGAGCUAAUUGAUUAAUAGUACAAGUUAAUUACUCCCAAAAGGAUUAAGAGGCGUUGAAAAGUUCAGAGUACACUUCCAUGAAAAACUUAUCAACUAUUUCAACAUAAGCCGGGCAAGUGAGACGUGAGUAGUAAUAAAGAACUUGUUCAAUAUCCAAAGCGUGCUGAUCUUCGUAAUUCUCUAACAUUUUCAAUUCCUGUAGCUUUUGAGCCACCAAAUAACUCCUUUCCUCUCUUCUCGGGUCUUGAUAUUUCUUCUUUCUUUCAUAUGUGAUUAUCUCCUUCCUCUUUAAAUCAUCCUUCAAGCCAACAACUUGAUGAUAAUUGCCCUUUCUCCUAACUUCAUUUUCCUUUGCUGGUGGAGACAUUGUUAUUGUUUUCUUCUUCUUCUUCUUGUGUCUGUCCCCAUGCACGUAAAAUUUGUCAAGCUCUGUGUAGCUUUGGCUGAAAUUAGUAUUGGCUCCGCCAGCAUAACAUGGAGGGCUUUUGGGGAUCUUUUGAUAUCCACCGGAGAAUAUAUAUUUGACACUGUCAAGGGUUUUCUGGAAGAGCUUUUUGGUAGUGGAGAUGGAGGUUUUUAGAAACAUUAUUGUUAUGUAACUGAUUAAUUCUUGCUAGGUCUGUCUUUCUUGUUCUGAUCUUGAAAAUGUUCUCCAGAGAGAUAAAAAUAGAAGACAAUAAUGGAAGUCGAUCAUUUAAGUACAAUAGAAAGGAGAAUAAGAAAUGAUAGUAAAGGAAAGACAGAAAGUUUAAGCUUUCUCUUUUUAUGAUUCACUAUNNNNNNNNNNNNNNNNNNNNNNNNNNNNNNNNNNNNNNNAAAGCUUGAUAUUCCCUACUAUUAUUACUAUUGGAAGAAAGGUAAUGAGUACCGUUUAAUUAAAACUAAUUCCUAUAAAAUAUAGUUUCAUUACUUUUACUUUACAGAGUGGGGGUUGGUGUGUUGCCCUCAAGGAAUGGUGGUGGUUGAAAACUUCCAAAUGUAUCUUCUCUCCUUCUAAAUUAAUGAACACAACAACAACUUAGUUUGCUCACUUGUUUAUGUCAAUUUGAUGUGAACUUCCAAAUGUAUUACUACCAUAUUCUUUCUUAUUUUUUCCUUUUCCUUUUCCCUUUCUCCUUUUCUUUUCCUUAUUUCUCACAUCAAUCAAUAAUUCUAUUAUACAAGUAGCACAAUAUUAUUAAAAAGUAGCAAUUAAUUUUUAAAUGUAUCUAUUUAAAUUAUAUAAAUAAAUAUUUUAUCUGAAAUGUGUUGUCGUCUGUUGUAACACCUGAUCUUUUUUAACAAAAAAAAUAACUUCAGUUUGAAUCUCGAAAUUCCAACUAUUCCAGGUAAAUUGAGCCAAAUUGGAUAAUUAAAAAAAUUGUAAAUCUCUAUACAUUAGCUUUAAUUUAUAGAAGUAUUGGGUUUCUCCUCCUGCUAAUUUAUUUUAGUUUUAAAAUGCUUACUUGAGGACGAAUUCUACCAACAAACAUAUUGAUAAGUUGAUUGAAAUCAUUAACCAACCAGAAAAUUUAAGAAGUGCCAUGAUUAUUAACUAUAUUUAUACAGUGUCAUAUGCCCUUCAUAUAUUCUGUAUCAAGACUUGAAACUGAUAUUCUUUUUCGUGAAAUGUUGUCAAAUUUGACUUAAAGUGGGACUAGGUAUUGUCCUCAUAGCUGUUUCAAUGUUGCUGUAAAAGUAAUUGUCACUGUAGUGUGUAGGUUCAGUGAUUGCAGGAAAACCUUCAACUACAGGAGGAAGUGUAACUUGAUGAGUUCCUCGCAAUUCUGCAGUGUAGGAGCUAUACGUUUGGAUAUUAGUUUGUGCAGUAGCAUCUCUUAUAAUCUUAGGUAACUGUCUGGAUUGAAAAUUUCAACUUUGUCUGGUGCAGUAUACUGAUUCAUCUUCAUUUUAGCCAUCCUGGAUCAUAUUAAUGUUUGAUAGAUUCGAUUGUUGCUUGCUAAGAUUGUAUUUGUUCUACAUGGAGCUUCUGUGGAAAAAUCUUUUCUUUAUGUAGAAUUCGGCUUUUCAUCUGUUGAAAGAAAUGGAUUAUAAUUGGUGGGAAAGAUAUAAAUUAGAUGCAUGAUUAUUUUUUAGUUUGAAGGAUAGAUACAUGAUUUGUUUUUAGUUUGAAGGCCCAACCUGGAAAUUGGUGGCUUCGUUUAGAGUUUUGUCUUGGCAAUUCUUUUUUUCUUUUUACUUAAUAAGCGUAACAGUUUAGUUUACUUUCUUUUCGAGUUGAUCUCUCUCCUGGUUUCAUUAUCAAAUCUCAAAGAGGAUUCCUGAUGUGUAGCUCACAGAGGUUUUGGAUACCACACAGCCAAGCGUUAGAGCUCCAGUGUAGCUAGGUUGAUCAAAGCCCUUAAUGUUGUGCCUUGCCUCUUUGAGAAACAUCGUCUUCAAACAUUUUUUAUGUCUUUUCUAUCAGUUGCGGUAAACACAAAAUCAGAUGAAAUACGAUUCAGUGGUAAAAUUGAACUGCCAUGUUGAUUGAAGAUUAUACAUGCAGACUGACUGAAUUCCCAUUUCUUGACAUGCAAUGAAGGUAGAUUGGAGAUGAGCAAUCUUGUAAAGUUUCUUUGAAUGUAAAACAAGUGUCAUUCUUUGCUGUUAUGACUUCUCUGUAAUUCAUUUAACAGUUUAUUUUAGAACAGAGCCAUAAAUCUGCUGCUACAGAUUUAAUUUUUCUUGCAGAAUCAAUAAAACUAUUAUACAGCAUAAUGACAUUAUAUAGAUAGUAGUAACAUUUAUUUGUGGAAAACUACAAAUACAUUGUUUUAUGUAGUUUGUCAAUAAUUACAUACGUAGUUUUCUUGUAGAAUGACACUAUAAAGAGAUACUUAGGAGUACAACAGCAUAAUAAAUUACUGUACAUUUUACAUAAUAAAAAUCUAUAACUACCAAUAAAUACUACUCCCUCCUUUUCGUUUUAGUUGAUCCUAUUUCUAAAAAUAUUUGUUUCAAUUUAAUUAUUCCUUUGGCAAAAUCAAGAGGAUUUUAUUAUAUUCUUUCAACAUUACCUUCAACAUUAAAUGACUAAAUAAAGUAUAUUUAUUGAAUUUGUAUUUUCAAUACACAAUUAAUAGGGUUAUUUUAGUAAAAUAGGCCUCUAUUAAAUAAUUUUUUAAGGAGAUCAAUUAAAACGAAAUGGAGGGAGUAUAUAACUAAGUCAACAUCUUUACAUGUUCAUACGAGAAGGAAUUCAACUAUUUUGUCAGCAUGUAAUAAUAAUAAUUUAUCAUUUAAUCAAACACUGAAUUUGGUUUAACGUCAAUUGUCAUUUUUCAUCAACAUGUUCUUUUUGUCGGUUGAUUGACACAGCACAACACAUCACUUAAACUAAUAAAAUAAAAGUUUGAAAAAUCAAAAUUGGGCGUGUGUUAUAAAAUAAAGACUAAAUAUUAAUAUUAAACUUUAUUUAAUAAAGGAGAGAAUUAGAGAGAAUUUUAGUAGUAUAUUUGUUAUUACUACUUAUGUAUAAAUAAAAUGUAAAAAUGGUGCCUAUUUAUAUAGAUGCCAUACUUAGUCUCUAAGUAUACCAAUUUGACUUCAAGUUGGUAAGUUGGUCAUAACUAAAAUGUACAAAUGGCGCCUAUUUAUAGUUAGUUUUUAAGUACAUCAAUGUUGACUUCAAGUUGGUAAGUUGGUCAAGUUUGUAUGUAUUCAAAUCCAAAUUGAAUACCAACUUUUAGUAUUCAAAUCCAACUUGAAUACCAACUUUGGUCUUCAAAUCCAAUUUGAAUAUCUACUUUGGUCUUCAAAUCCAAUUUAAAUACCAACUAUUAUUUCGAAUAUCUACAAUAGUGUAGUAUAUUAACAUCAUUAUUUACAAUAGUGUGAAUAAUCUAGGUGUCUUAUAUUCAGGCUAAAUGCACCCACCCUAAUUCGUAUGAAACUUUAAUCACUUUCACAAACUGAAAAUAAGUGUUCCUUCAGGACCAAUCAAUUUUCAAAACUAAGGCAAAAGCAUUAUAUAUAAAAUGUGUUUUAUUAUUAAGUUUUAGUGUUUACCUAAGGUUGUUCCGAGUCUCUUUCUGGUUAGAGUUUUAUAUGUCCAUAGAAUGUAUAAAGAAUUUCUACGAAUACAUAAAAUGUUUCUUUGGAUAAUAUCAAACUGAGAAAAGCUUAAACGUAGCGACAUGAACCAUAAAGAUUCAUAGAGCCAAGAUUUAGUUUUAUAGUUUAUUAUAAAUGAUGUAAUAGCUAAGGAUUUUUUUUCCAUAGGAGAUCAGUAAAUAAUAGUAUAAAUAACAUAAAUACCAAUCCUUUUGGAAGUAAUUACAUAUUCGUGUAAUUUUUAGUAAAUAAAACACAUUACAUUUUUGUUGGAUCAUUUUCUUCUAGUCAAGUAGAAAGUUACAAUCCGCUUGGACAAUGAUUUCAUAUUACGUACUAAUUUGAAAUGAGAUUGAUUUAGUGUUGAAAUUUAUUUGGACAUGUAAUUUGAUUUUCUUAAGUUGUAUUUUUUUUUUCACAAAUAUGAAAACUUCACAAUUUGUGAAAACUAUCAAAAUUUCUUCAACUCUUAUAUUAUUUUAUUAAAUGAGCAAAUCAUAGUUCAUAAACAAGCUGUUGAAAUAUCAUGAGAUGCUGAAAUAAUAAAUCAUAUAUCUUCAUGUAUUUUUUAUAAAUAAAUAUUUGCAAUUACGUAUUACUAUUACAAACUUUGAAAUAUUCGCAAUGUCACAAAGAUUUACUAAUGCAAUAAAUUAACAAUAGGAGUAACUAACUAUUCUUUAAUAUAAUCCUCCCACAUGAUGUGCAUACACCCAACCUCUUUGUGUCGAACAUAAGUAUUGUUUUACAAAAUUUUAAAUCAUGAAUCUUCUUUUUGCAAAAUAUAAAUUUAUGAGUCAAACUUUAUAUUUUACAAAUUAAAAUCAUAAUAUAAAAUUUGAAAUCCUACUUCUUGGAGAAUUUGUAAUUUAAACUUUUUCUAAA
rnacentral:lncRNA from 1 species